GUUUCCUCAAAUCAAUUAUUUAAAUGCUUUUUUAGAUUGUUUUGUCAAUUGCUGUUUCCAUGGUCAUGAAGACACUAUUGAUCUCAAAAUGUCUUUUACAUCAACAUGGUCAAAAAAAAGGAAAUUAGGCAACUCCAUCUGCUGAGGAAGAUCGAGGGCGAAAAGCUCCAGGACUGAUAAUGAGAGGACCUUCUGGAAUGCAGAUAAAUCCCAUCUUCCAGCCGGAGGAGAGGAGCAGGGAGUUUUUCUUUCGUUUGGACCCCAGUUGGAUGAGAUGUGAAUGGAACCGGUGACCCAGUUUGUCCUGAUUGACGGAGCAGAUUUUCUCCCUGAGCUCUCCUCUGCUGACUCAGUGUCUGUCCUCCACAUGUCUAACAAAACAUCCGCACAUCAUUUUAUAAUUCGGUAUCCUCCUUACGUAAUAUGUGACCCAUUUUUACUUCUGUUGGCUCUGCUCACGGCUGACAGUUGGUUGGCACCGACCAUCUCUUCUGUUUCUUUUUAAAUUUUGGCAACUAGGCCCCUCUGGCUUUCAGAUGUCUUCUGCACAGGGCUAACUGCUGCAGGUCUCCACAUAAGAAGACUUUCAGUGACCUUCAUGGUUCACUUCGGACCCAUUUAUUAUGAGUCAGCGUUACUGGAAAGAACCAUGGGCUAAGUUGAUUUUGCCUUUUCGGGAAACUCUUGGAGAUUUUCCUCUAACUGCCACUGUUGUACCACACAAACUAUCCAUAAAUCAGCAUUGUCAGCUCUCAAAGUAUUCUCUGACUCAUAUGUUUUGUCAGAAAGUGCAGCGCUGGAGCCCAAAGAUACCAAACUGAAUGCCAAAAAUGUUCUGCUUGUUAUCGUUGCCAUAGUUAACUGAACUUUGAUUAAGAGUUACUUCAGUUAUAUGCUUUUUUUUGCACCUAUGUUUGCAUAAAAUAUGUGAUUUUUUGUG